rnacentral:rRNA from 1 species
CCUACGGGUGGCAGCAGUGGGGAAUAUUGGGCAAUGGGCGCAAGCCUGACCCAGCAACGCCGCGUGAAGGAAGAAGGCUUUCGGGUUGUAAACUUCUUUUAAGGGGGAAGAGCAGAAGACGGUACCCCUUGAAUAAGCCACGGCUAACUACGGGCCAGCAGCCGCGGUAAUACGUAGGUGGCAAGCGUUGUCCGGAUUUACUGGGUGGAAAGGGCGUGCAGCCGGAGAGACACGUCAGAUGUUAACUCCAAGGGCUCAACCCGUGAACUGCAUUUGAAACUGUUUCCCUUGAGUGUCGGAGUGGUACUCGGCCUUCCUUGUGUAGCGGUGACCUGCGUAGAUAUACGGCAUAACACCCGUGGC